rnacentral:rRNA from 1 species
GUAGGUGGCAAGCGUUGUCCGGAAUUAUUGGGCGUAAAGCGCGCGCAGGCGGUUCUUUAAGUCUGAUGUGAAAGCCCACGGCUCAACCGUGGAGGGUCAUUGGAAACUGGAGAACUUGAGUACAGAAGAGGAAAGCGGAAUUCCACGUGUAGCGGUGAAAUGCGUAGAGAUGUGGAGGAACACCAGUGGCGAAGGCGGCUUUCUGGUCUGUAACUGACGCUGAGGCGCGAAAGCGUGGGGAGCAAACAGGAUUGGAUACCCUGGUAGUCCACGCCGUAAACGAUGAGUGCUAAGUGUUAGGGGGUUUCCGCCCCCUUAGUGCUGCAGCUAACGCAUUAAGCACUCCGCCUGGGAGUACGGCCGCAAGGCUG